UUUUCUUGCAAAUCAAAAACAUACAGUAUGUGAAAGAAAUUACUACUCUCGUUCGCUGAUUUAGUUUCGGUUCAUAAUGUCGUCACCAGACUGGUAAUGAUUGGUAUCGUGCGGCUGAAACCUGUGAAACCGCGCACGCGUAGAUUAAUAGUUAGGAACGAAUCGCUUAUUUCUCCUUCUCGCGCUGCUGUGCAGGAGGAGCAUAUCGAGCAAGCGACGUUCUCUCACGCGAUUGACGCGACACUUCGUGGAUCGUAAUAGACUAGUCGGUAAUUUCUUACUAAUAACCGUUUCGGUUCUUUUCUAGACUACUAGCAAUAAGUAAACUGCGUCUCGUUGCGAAUCGGCUGUGAUCAUCGCAUUUUUUGUGGAUACACUUUGAAAAUUGUCAAUCUCCGUGAAAUUUUUGUGUGGUUUUGUGUUGGAGAUGAUUGAUUCGAAAGCGGUAUUGCAAAUGAAAAUGGUUCAAGGAAAUAGAGAAGAAGAUAACAGAGAAAGUUUACGAGAUGGAAGUCGGAGUCAGGUUGUGAACAGAUGGCAAUUUGUAUUAGAUGGAAAAAUGAGGAAGGGCUGGAUCAAAGUCCUUGCGGUUGGAAUGUGCAAAAUACCAAGCGUAGCUGCACGCACGGCCCGGAAUCUCAGUGCACGGAAUUUCUCCACGAUUUCCCUCAAUGUUCCCUGUUCUCGAGAAACAGAUGUUUGAACGAAAGCGAGCAAGUGGCUAAUUGACUAACGAGCUAUUCGUGGCUCGUACAACAUUAGCCGUCAUAGUCAGAAAAUAUUGAGAGAUUGAGAGAAGAGGAAAAACGAGCAAAGCAACCGACACGGAUAGGAGAAAGACGAAGAAGAAAAAGAUCGUCUAAAGAAAAGAGAAUCGCGAAGAUGGGCGAUCCUGUUCGAGUAGUGGAUUGCUGGGCCAGUGAUGGUCCUAUUGCUUUUAAUGUAAUCGAGCCGGGCGUCCUUUAUCAUUGCGAGAAAAAAUGGCCAUUUAAUCACGGCGUUUCUCAACGUGGGGUCCGUGCGCACCCCUCCGGCGCGCCGCCUCGAGAAUCAUUUCGAUAUUAAUAGCGGAUGGUUUGACCGCGUAAUAUGAGGAAUCGUUGGCGCACGCGUAUAAUAUCACUCGGUCGUGCCAAGCGGCUCGAGGAACACGAAUGUUACACGGCCGAGAAUGACAAAUUAAUCGUCUGCUUGGUUGGACCUGCUCAACGCAUCGAAUCCUGUAGCAUGGCUGAGAGAUAUUUAGGUAGGUAGGAACAUUUUGUUCUAUUACGAAUUUAUACGAAUCGUGCUAUACGAAAAGAAAUUAAUUUAUAAUUGAAAAUUUUAGGUUAAGUUUGGAAUAUUAAUAGAUAUUUCAUAUAUAUUAAAUCCACGCCGUCAUAAAAUAUUUAACAUGAUUUCUACAAUACAGAAAUACAAAGCGUAGCACAUAUCUAACUAGGAAUCUCAUCAACUGAUCACCUGCAAUCACAUUUCCAAAUAGAACAUCACGGUCGGGUAGUGCUGCAGUCAAGGAGGAUUGCGGCUGCUCGAGCCCGUUACAAAGUCGGCAAUUAUCGAGGAGUGGCCCCAGUCGACCUCUUUGAAAACGCGCGUUAUUCGAUGUCCUCUCCUCCGUCACGAUGGAUGCACUCGCGGUAUGCCGUGAUGUCACGUGGACUGGGCAGCGUCGGGUCUCGUAGGUUAAUUUCACCGCGAUAAGAUCGUAUGAGCGGAUUACGCGGCGGAACACGAUCGAACACCUGUAACGAACAUGAUUUUCUUAUGAACGGUGGAACGGUCCGCGUCCGGUUUUCCCUCUAUUUGAGAGUUAUUCGAUACGCCCGAUAUUUUCUCGAUAUCCAUAUGAGCAUUAAUAAAUGGAGAGACGGAGAAGAGGAACUCACCAGGACAUGCGCGCGAUUUUUUCAACACACGAUGGAGAUUUCAGGUUAUACGAUCGGGGUUAAUGACUGAGGUGUAGUCGAGCGGUCUAGGAAUACCGCUGAGUUUUCUUAUCGAUCACAUCUUGAUUAGGAAAAGCAAUGGACCGUAUGAAACUGUUGCACGAGCAUUGGAAAUUCGUAAUAUGCCUUGAUAUGCUUGAACUGGAAACGAUUUAAAUCGUGGAAUUUAUGGAAUUGAUGGUAUUCCAAUCGACGUUUACAUGAUUAUAUCUUUAUUGUACGUAUAAUACUAUUGAUUUAUUUUUAUAACUGUCUUCGCGUUCUCAUAUUUCUUAAAAUAUAUAUCUUUAUGUUAAAAGCAACACUUAUUUAUUAAUUAUUGAAAGUUAUUGUUAUAGGAUUAAUGGAAAAGGGAUGGUCUUUUAUAACUAGAAGAAAAAAAUACUCGUCAAAUUAUCUUCUAUACGAAUUAUAAUUAAAUGAUAUUCAUACUUGUUUAAACAUUCUGCUAUUCUUAUACUUUUUAUCCAAACUUUCAAAAAUAUACUAUCACGAUUCAUAAAAUAAUAUCUUUUACAGAAAUAUCUAUUAAGAACAGGUGAUGAACAACUAUUUGGAAAAAGUGGAUUUGGAAAAUCCGACCACCCACAGCAAAUUUGUGUAGGCGUUGCAUCAGUGCUCGGCCGAGCGCGGAUAAAAUAGUGAGGGAGAACCGGUACUCUUCAAGAGUCAUUCUAUUCGAAACACUUUCUCUGGAUCGUCAAUUGAUCUUAAGGACACGAUUCGAUUCAGUUCAAUGGUUAUGUUCACCGUUCCACUAUUUUUCAUUCUUCAAUAUAUCAAUAAUAUAUAAUAAUACAUCCAUUUCAAUUUACGUAUAUUUUUAACAUUGCGAUUUGAUUGAAAUUUUGAUUUUGAUUAAAACAGAAUUACAAAAUGUUUUCGAGAAUUGGAUAUUAUACGUAUAGAUAAUUCAAGUGAAAUAUCGAACAUAACCUCAACGGAAAAGGAUUAAUUAAAAUCGAAGACGAAGGAGAGUUCACCCGGUGCACCACAAGGCUACGAUAUUCCUGUUCCUUUUGUCCGCACGGAUCGCUGCUUCGAGCAGCCGAGCUGAAAGUGCCAACGAUUAAUAACAUGAUACGCACGCAGUGAGGAUCUCUCGUACUCGCCAUUAGUCGUAGCCGCACUCUUAUCGCGGCACGGUCUCUCCACGGUUACGGUCACGAUUUCGGAGACACUGGUGCGCAACCGACCGUGUAAUUUACUGCGAAUCAGCGUCAAUUUAGCGAUACUCGACUAGAUCAUCGCCAAGCUCUUUUAUCUACUUUGUUCGAGUAGAUAGAACUCAUUGGAAUUAUGCGAAAAGCGGAUUAUUGGAACGAGUUUUUAAGAGUAUCAGUGAUAAUUAGAAAAGAGAGGAAACAGAAAUGAUAUGAAAUCAUUAGUAGCAAGAUACCAGUGGUAGAAAGGAAAAUAUAAGAUAACAAGGAAGUAAAACGGAAAUCAUAUUGCAUGCGUCUAUCUUUAAACUCUUCUGAUAGAGACGAGUGUACAUAGGGAUUAAAUCGUUGUAUGAAACUCCACCUGUGAACAACAUUGCACUUGACGGCAAAAAUCCAAUGCCACGAUUUUUCAUGCAACAUUGUGAGGAACGUAUAUAGCGCUUCCGUAAUAUUACCUCAAAGAUUAUACGGAACAGGAUACUUUUAUUAACCUAUCCGAGACAAAAAUCUCGUCAGCGGUCGUAAACUUCAAAGUACCGACGAUAAGAACUGUGGGGGACACGAAUCGAUAUCAAGGCGGUGUCCUAUAGGGAAAUUCUCUUCAUGGAAUGCGGACUCAUUGCCCGGCGUUAUAAAAUUAAGCAUCGCGUUUCAACAUGCAAUCACGCUGUGUGCUACCAGUUUCUCGCGAUGAUUCGUUCACAGGAGAAUGCAAGCUGAUUGCCUGGAACAUUAUGAUUGUGGUAUACAGGAUGAAUAUUUGCUGAUUUUUAAUUUAAUAAUUUUUAUCUAACUUAUCUCUGUUGAUUGAGAAAGUCGAGUUAACUCGUUAUCUAUAUUGUUAAUAUUUCAGAUUUUAUAAUUAUACAUACAUACAUAUAUAUUAUUAAAAUUGAGGUUAAUACAAGCAAUAUAUAUAUAUAAUAUAAUAAUAAUAUAUUAAUUAUGAUUAUGAGUGAGAAUUAUAUUUUUAAUAUAGUAGAAUCAUCGAAUAGAUCAUUACAUGAAUUCAAUCGAAUAUCAGGUUUUAAUACCUCGUGGGAUUAGGACAGUGAAAUGUUGCACGUUAUAGCACUGUCUGGGAAAGGAUCAUUUUCGUUACGUAAUCGCAUUGAGUAGGCUAGCUUUUGCACUUCGUCUGCGUCACGGAUAUGUCGGUCCACUGUUGGAUUAUUAACGCCUGUUUUUCUUGAUAGUUCUAUAGUAAUUUGUAUAGCCUGAUGUCAUAAUGUGAAACGUU